rnacentral:rRNA from 1 species
UACAGAGGUCUCAAGCGUUGUUCGGAUUCAUUGGGCGUAAAGGGUGCGUAGGUGGCAUGGUAAGUCGGAUGUGAAAUCCCGGGGCUCAACCUCGGGUCUGCAGUCGAUACGAGCAAACUAGAGUGUUGCAGGGGAGACUGGAAUUCCUGGUGUAGCGGUGAAAUGCGUAGAUAUCUGGAGGAACACCGGUGGCGAAGGCGGCAUCCUGGACCAACACUGACGCUGAGGAGCGAAAGCCAGGGGAGCAAAGCGGG